UCUUCAUUGGUCUAGUGGUCAUGAUUUCCGCUUGUCAUCUUCUCUUGCAGGAAAACAAGCGCGGGAGACCUGGGUUCGAUUCCCAGAUGGAGAG
rfam:Cyphellophora europaea CBS 101466 unplaced genomic scaffold supercont1.1, whole genome shotgun sequence.